rnacentral:rRNA from 1 species
CGCGGACGGGUGAGUAACGCGUGGGUAACCUGCCUCAUACAGGGGGAUAACAGUUGGAAACGGCUGCUAAUACCGCAUAAGCGCACAGUACCGCAUGGUACGGUGUGAAAAACUCCGGUGGUAUGAGAUGGACCCGCGUCUGAUUAGGUAGUUGGUGGGGUAACGGCCUACCAAGCCGACGAUCAGUAGCCGACCUGAGAGGGUGACCGGCCACAUUGGGACUGAGACACGGCCCAA